GGCGAAGGCCCUAGUGUCCGGCAUUCUGAACCUCUCCGCUGCGGGUUGGAGGUGGGCGGUGUUGUAAGUUAGGUGAUUCUAGCUCAUUGUGUGCCUAGGAAUGCGGUCCUUUAAGGCAGAUAAUGGAGCAUUGACGCCGGAGCCCGAGAUUCCGUCCUUGAGGGUCCCCACGGUGACUUGUAAAAGUCCAGUGAGAUCCGAGGGGGGGGCCGAGGCGGAGUACGGAGCAUGUGGCUCUGAUGGUCGCGACGUUCGUGUCGCCAUCUUGAGUCCUGGCAACGGAAACCGGUACCCCCUGUCUGCCUUAGAGCCUGGUGUAACCUGUUCGUCAGGCAGGAAGGGUGGCAUCUUGUAGCCCAGGCAACAGUCAGGUCGUGGAAACUGCGGGGCAGACGAGGGCCUUAGAGAAAUGUUGGUAGUGUGAUAGAUAGGACAUAGUAACUCGUUUUUGCCAUCAAAGAAACACCGGGAAGAGCCCCUCCCCUUCCUCUAACCUCGCACACAGCUUAGUUUUUGCUUUUCAGGAACGUUCCAUCGUUGCCAGAGUUCCCCAUACAACUAUAGUACCAAAACAUUUUUUGUGACUCAAAUAUAAGUGUGCUCUCAACAUCAUUUAUUAGAUUCCAAAUUACAAAGCCUUUGUGAGAUUCUUGUUCAGUGACCCUGUGGUAGGGGCCUGAUAACGUUCCCUAUAAGUAAUUCUGAUACAGCUGGUCCGAAGACCACAUGUAGGAAAUCAUUGUAUUGAAGUUUGUACUGUGUAGCUGUGGGACAGAGGUGAGAUGCCAACUGAGUUCUUGUCUCCUUUUAAGAGGCCAUAAUCUAGUUGACAGUUCAUUAUUCGCUGUCCUUGUGCAAUUAAGGACAAGGCCAACUGAUAAUGCAGCAGAUAAGUUCACUUCACGCUGUGCUAGGAGAGUUAGCACCAAUAUGGAGGGGUUCUCAGAAUGUAAAGUACGUUUCACAGAUAUAAUAUGCACCAAGAAUUCAACUGAUUCUUACAAAAAUUAUUAAGCUACCACAUACCUUUUUAAAUGGAAACAAAUUAUUUUGAGCUAGUUAACACUUUCAAAGACUGUUUUUACUUCAUCGUUUUUUAGUGUGUCCCAAUAAAUUACUAGAAUACAAAAUUUAUGAAAACUA
rnacentral:lncRNA from 1 species